rnacentral:rRNA from 1 species
AGUGAACGCUGGCGGUAGGCCUAACACAUGCAAGUCGAACGGCAGCACAGGAGAGCUUGCUCUCUGGGUGGCGAGUGGCGGACGGGUGAGGAAUACAUCGGAAUCUACUUUUUCGUGGGGGAUAACGUAGGGAAACUUACGCUAAUACCGCAUACGACCUACGGGUGAAAGCAGGGGACCUUCGGGCCUUGCGCGAAUGCAUGAGCCGAUGGCGGAUUAGCUAGUUGGAGGGGUAAAGGCCCACAAAGGAGAGGAUCCGUAGCUGGUCUGAGAGAAGGAUCAGCAACACUGGAACGGAGAACCGGUCCAGACUCUUACGGAGGCAGCAGUGGGGAAUAUUGGACAAUGGGCGCAAGCCUGAUCCAGCCAUACCGCGUGGGUGAAGAAGGCCUUCGGGUUGUAAAGCCCUUUUGUUGGGAAAGAAAUCCAGCUGGCUAAUACCCGGUUGGGAUGACGGUACCCAAAGAAUAAGCACCGGCUAACUUCGUGCCAGCAGCCGCCGUAA